UGACUAUUGAGCAAUAAAAAGUUAAAAUGAAUGGCUUGAACAAAUGCUGAUAGAUUUGAAAAAUCUUAACUGUGUAUUUUUGUUUUUCUUUCUUACUACACAGGAAUAUAGGCAAGUCUGAUGAAGUUUUAGAAAUAUUUACAACUGUACCAAAUUAUGUAGAGAAAUGCGUCAUGGAAGGGUGUGGAAGUUGGGAUCAUGAGACGACUUAUGACAGAGGCGGAUAAAAGUUGAACAUAUAGAGAAACAAGCUAGAGAUGAUUCAUCUGAAGUACCAAUGUUUGGAAGACCAAGUGAGUACAACGUUUUUCUCACUGGUUCCAAUUCUAAACAUGGAAAUGACUUCAAUGCCCAAGAUACAAUACCCUCAUUCUCGCCAACUGUUACCGUACAAGUACUGUACACUAAAACUCCACCUGGCUUUAGUAGAUCGACAGCCUGUUGAAAGAUGUUCAUUUAUUAUGGAGCUUUGUGUAUUAUUAUCAAACUGAGCAACGAAUAUAUGUUUCAAGGUUUGAACAAUUUUGGUAAAUUGGUAUCAAAUUAAUGCAAGCGUAUAAAUAUAUAUUUUGGAGUAUCAUCAAUUUUGGCUUUGGUAUUGAAAGUUCAAUUUUUUUUUUUUUUUAAUUUACUAACCACAGAGAAUAGCUUUCUUUGCAAAGGUACGUAAGAGUUAAGUUGAGCCACGGUGAUUGGGUUAAUAAGCUGUGGUCUCUGCCCCAGAGCACUGCAGGGAACAUCCAGUAAAAUACGAUCAAAAGAUUCCUGGGUAUAUGGUGGUCCAGUAGAUAAUAAUUUUUCAUUUGUCUUGCCCAGUGCUUUUGUCGAAUCAAAACAGAAAAUCUGGAUAUUCAGAGCAGAAAAUGCUGCACAUUGAAUUUUCAUUCGCUCUACUUUGGAUCUUAUUUUUUCUAAGGCAACAAUGCUUCCCUAGAAUUAUUUAAUUUAGAUAUCAUUUGUUCAAGAGAUUAACAUGUAUGAGAUAGCCACGACAAAAUGAAUACCGAGCCUUUCAUGAGUGCAGCAAUAUGAGUUGUUUUGUUUCCAGGAGCGGCACACAUGUCUAGAACGGUUUGAUCAGGUAGUGGAUUUAAAACAUGAGCGCAAACCAUAGAUGGCAGAUUCUGGAGUAGUACAGAACCCUUUGGAAAUACAGAAUCGCUCAGAUUUGGCACAUUUGAAAUAAUGUCCGUCAUAAAAACUCCGAUCCCAC
rnacentral:misc_RNA from 1 species